UACGAAGGGGGCUAGCGUUGCUCGGAAUUACUGGGCGUAAAGGGCGCGUAGGCGGACAGUUUAGUCAGAGGUGAAAGCCCAGGGCUCAACCUUGGAAUAGCCUUUGAUACUGGCUGUCUUGAGUUCGGGAGAGGUGAGUGGAAUGCCGAGUGUAGAGGUGAAAUUCGUAGAUAUUCGGCGGAACACCAGUGGCGAAGGCGACUCACUGGCCCGAUACUGACGCUGAGGCGCGAAAGCGUGGGGAGCAAACAGGG
rnacentral:rRNA from 1 species